GACGAACGCUGGCGGCGUGCUUAACACAUGCAAGUCGAACGGAAAGGCCCUGCUUGCAGGGUACUCGAGUGGCGAACGGGUGAGUAACACGUGGGUGAUCUGCCCUGCACUUCGGGAUAAGCCUGGGAAACUGGGUCUAAUACCGGAUAGGAGCCAUUUUUAGUGUGAUGGUUGGAAAGUUUUUUCGGUGUAGGAUGAGCUCGCGGCCUAUCAGCUUGUUGGUGGGGUAAUGGCCUUCCAAGGCGGCGACGGGUAGCCGGCCUGAGAGGGUGGACGGCCACAUUGGGACUGAGAUACGGCCCAGACUCCUACGGGAGGCAGCAGUGGGGAAUAUUGCACAAUGGGCGCAAGCCUGAUGCAGCGACGCCGCGUGGGAGAGGACGGCCUUCGGGUUGUAAACUCCUUUCGCUAGGGACGAAGCUUUUUGUGACGGUACCUAGAUAAGAAGCACCGGCUAACUACGUG
rnacentral:rRNA from 1 species